UGCCUAUCACUUAGCGGCGGACGGGUGAGUAAUGCUUAGGAAUCUGCCAUUUAGUGGGGGACAACAUUCCGAAAGGAAUGCUAAUACCGCAUACGCCCUACGGGGGAAAGCAGGGGAUCUUCGGACCUUGCGCUAAUAGAUGAGCCUAAGUCAGAUUAGCUAGUUGGUGGGGUAAAGGCCUACCAAGGCGACGAUCCGUAGCUGGUCUGAGAGGAUGAUCAGCCACACUGGAGCUGAGACACGGUCCAGACUCCUACGGGAGGCAGCAGUGGGGAAUAUUGGACAAUGGGCGCAAGCCUGAUCCAGCCAUACCGCGUGGGUGAAGAAGGCCUUCGGGUUGUAAAGCCCUUUUGUUGGGAAAGAAAUCCAGCUGGCUAAUACCCGGUUGGGAUGACGGUACCCAAAGAAUAAGCACCGGCUAACUUCGUGCCAGCAGCCGCGGUAAUACGAAGGGUGCAAGCGUUACUCGGAAUUACUGGGCGUAAAGCGUGCGCAGGCGGUUGUGCAAGACCGAUGUGAAAUCCCCGAGCUUAACUUGGGAAUUGCAUUGGUGACUGCACGGCUAGAGUGUGUCAGAGGGGGGUAGAAUUCCACGUGUAGCAGUGAAAUGCGUAGAGAUGUGGAGGAAUACCGAUGGCGAAGGCAGCCCCCUGGGAUAACACUGACGCUCAUGCACGAAAGCGUGGGGAGCAAACAGGAUUAGAUACCCUGGUAGUCCACGCCCUAAACGAUGUCAACUAGUUGUUGGGGAUUCAUUUCCUUAGUAACGUAGCUAACGCGUGAAGUUGACCGCCUGGGGAGUACGGUCGCAAGAUUAAAACUCAAAGGAAUUGACGGGGACCCGCACAAGCGGUGGAUGAUGUGGAUUAAUUCGAUGCAACGCGAAAAACCUUACUUACCCUUGACAUGCCACUAACGAAGCAGAGAUGCAUUAGGUGCUCGAAAGAGAAAGUGGACACAGGUGCUGCAUGGCUGUCGUCAGCUCGUGUCGUGAGAUGUUGGGUUAAGUCCCGCAACGAGCGCAACCCUUGUCUCUAGUUGCUACGAAAGGGCACUCUAGAGAGACUGCCGGUGACAAACCGGAGGAAGGUGGGGAUGACGUCAAGUCCUCAUGGCCCUUAUGGGUAGGGCUUCACACGUCAUACAAUGGUGCAUACAGAGGGUUGCCAAGCCGCGAGGUGGAGCUAAUCCCAGAAAAUGCAUCGUAGUCCGGAUCGUAGUCUGCAAC
rnacentral:rRNA from 1 species